AUGGAUGGAUGUGUCACCAUUACUUAAAACUUGAAGGCUUCAAUAGUGAAGGCAAUAAAUCUGCAAUAAUGCAAUAGUGAAGAGUCAAUGGCUUUUUAUAAAAAUUCGACAUUGGAUGAUAACUAAAAGUAUCCAGCAAUUUUGGAAAAGCACCAAAGUUUGAUGACUUAAAUUACCAGAUACAUUCAUUCACGAGGAAAAAUAAUAGAGAAAGAAAACCAUUCCUUUAAAAAUUUUCCAUUAUUCUUCCAAUCUGAGCCUGUUCUCAGUUACACACCAAUUUACUUUGAUUCCCAUGGAAGAGAAAGUUAGCCAAUGGAAGAAAGUGGAAAAAGUUAGGAACUAUCUCUUUUCCCAAUAAAAUUUAACAAAUAUAAGAAUACUGUAACUAAAUCUACAACAUGCUGUACCUUAGAGUGAAAACGAAAUAUUCCCUAAAAUUUGUAUUUGGCAAGUAAAUAAAAGAAUUAAAAUAAA